GAUGAACGCUGGCGGCGUGCCUAAUACAUGCAAGUCGAGCGAACAGAUGAGGCGCUUGCUCCUCUCACGUUAGCGGCGGGCGGGUGAGUAACACGAGUAUCACCUCCCUAUAAGACUGGGAUAACUACGGGAAACCGGCUCUAAUCCCGUAUAAUAUAUUGAACCGCAUGGUUCAAUAGUGAAAGACGGUUUUGCUGUCUCUAAUAGAUGGAUCUCGGCCGCAUUAGCUAGUUGGGACGGUAACGGCUUACCAAGGCAACGAUGCGUAGCCGACCUGAGAGAGUGAUCGGCCACACGAGAACUGAGACAGCGACCAGACUCCUGCGGGAGGCAGCAGUCGGCAACGGGCCGCAGUAGGCGAAAGCCUGACGGAGUAACGCCGCGUGAGUGGUGGAGGUCUUGCGAGCGUAAUACUCGGUUAUUAGGUGAGAACAGAUGUGUAAGUAACUGUGCACGUCUUGACGGUACCGAAUCAGAAAGCACCGGCUAACUACGUG
rnacentral:rRNA from 1 species